GACGGAGGGCGCGAGCGUUGUUCGGAAUUACUGGGCGUAAAGCGCACGCAGGCGGUCUCUUAAGUCCACUGUUAAAUCACGGGGCUCAACCCCGGCGGUGCAGUGGAUACUGAGGGACUGGAGACCGGUAGAGGCUAGCGGAAUUCCUGGUGUAGCGGUGGAAUGCGUAGAUAUCAGGAGGAACACCGGUGGCGAAGGCGGCUAGCUGGGCCGGUUCUGACGCUCAUGUGCGAAAGCGUGGGGAGCAAACAGG
rnacentral:rRNA from 1 species